UACGGAGGGUGCGAGCGUUGUCCGGAAUCACUGGGCGUAAAGGGCGCGUAGGCGGCCUGAUAAGUAGGGGGUGAAAUCCUGCGGCUUAACCGCAGGGCUGCCUUCUAAACUGUCAGGCUGGAGCACAGUAGAGGCAGGUGGAAUUCCCGGUGUAGCGGUGGAAUGCGUAGAGAUGUGGAGGAACACCGAUGGCGAAGGCAGCCUCCUGGGCUAGUACUGACGCUCAUGCACGAAAGCGUGGGGAGCAAACAGG
rnacentral:rRNA from 1 species